UGAAUACGAGACGCUAAGGCGUCGAAGUAGUGUAUGUCAUACUUCCAAGAAAAGCUUGCACUGUCAUAGAUAAAAAACGCCUGUACCAUAACCGACACAGGUGGGUAGGUAGAGUAUACUAAGGGGCGCGAGAUAACUCUCUCUAAGGAACUCGGCAAAAUAACUCCGUAACUUCGGGAGAAGGAGUGCCUUAUUCUUAAGGUUGCAAUAACAAGAUCCAAGCAACUGUUUAUCAAAAACACAGGUCUCCGCUAAGUCGUAAGACGAUGUAUGGGGGCUGACGCCUGCCCAGUGCCAGAAGGUUAAAGAAGCUGGUUAGCAUUUGCGAAGCUAGUAACUGAAGCCCUGGUGAACGGCGGCCGUAACAAUAACGGUCCUAAGGUAGCGAAAUUCCUUGUCGGGUAAGUCCCGACCCGCACGAAAGGCGUAAUGAUUUGGAUACUGUCUCGGAGAGGGGCUCGGUGAAAUAGACUUGUCUGUGAAGAUGCGGACUACCUGCACCAGGACAGAAAGACCCUAUGAAGCUUUACUGUAACUUGAAAUUGAAAUUGGACUUUAUUCGCGCAGUAUAGGUGGGAGGCGUUGAUUAUAAUCUUGCGGGAUUAUUGGAGCCAUUAGUGAGAUACCACUCUUGUAAUGUUAGAUUUCUAACUUUGAAUCAUUAUCUGGUCAAAGAACAGUUUCAGGCGGGCAGUUUGACUGGGGCGGUCGCCUCCUAAACGGUAACGGAGGCGUACAAAGGUUUCCUCUGAACGGUUAGAAAUCGUAUCUAGAGUGUAAAGGCAUAAGGAAGCUUGACUGUGAGACCUACAAGUCGAGCAGGGACGAAAGUCGGUCUUAGUGAUCUGACGGUACUGAGUGGAAAGGCCGUCACUCAACGGAUAAAAGUUACUCUAAGGAUAACAGGCUGAUCUCCCCCAAGAGUUCACAUCGACGGGGAGGUUUGGCACCUCGAUGUCGGCUCAUCGCAUCCUGGGGCGGUAGUACGUCCCAAGGGUUGGGCUGUUCGCCCAUGAAAGCGGUACGCGAGCUGGGUUCAGAACGUCGUGAGGCAGCUCGGUCCAUAUCCGGUGUAGGCGUUAGAAUAUUGAGAGGAGCCUUCUUUAGUACGAGAGGACCGAGAAGGACAUACCUCUGGUGUACCAGUUAUCGUGCCAACGGUAAACGCUGGGUAGCUAUGUAUGGAGUGGAUAACCGCUGAAAGCAUCUAAGUGGGAAGCCCACCUCAAGAUAAG
rnacentral:rRNA from 1 species